rnacentral:rRNA from 1 species
CACGUAGGGCGCGAGCGUUGUCCGGAAUUAUUGGGCGUAAAGAGCUCGUAGGUGGUGUGUCGCGUCUGCCGUGAAAGCCCGGGGCUUAACUCCGGGUCUGCGGUGGAUACGGGCAGACUAGAGGCAGGUAGGGGAGAACGGAAUUCCCGGUGUAGCGGUGAAAUGCGCAGAUAUCGGGAAGAACACCCGUGGCGAAGGCGGCUCUCUGGGACGGUACUGACGCUGAGACGCGAAAGCGUGGGGAGCGAACAGG